AGGGGUGAAAGGCCAAUCAAACUUGCUGAUAGCUGGUUCUCCGCGAAAUCUAUUUAGGUAGAGCGUCACGAUUAGACUCUGGGGGGUAGAGCACUGAAUGGGCUAGGGGUCCUCACCGGAUUACCAAACCUUCUCAAACUCCGAAUACCCAGAAGUUAUGCGUGGCAGACACACGGCGGGUGCUAACGUCCGUCGUGAAAAGGGAAACAACCCAGACCGCCAAUUAAGGCCCCUAAGUAAUAGCUAAGUGCGAAACGAUGUGGAGGUGCUGAGACAAUCAGGA
rnacentral:rRNA from 1 species